GCCCCCAUUGUCUAGCGGCCCAGGACGCCGCCCUCUCACGGCGGCAACACCGGUUCAAAUCCGGUUGGGGGUG
rnacentral:tRNA from 1 species